GUAAGGAAUAUUGGUCAAUGGAGGCAACUCUGAACCAGCCAUGCCGCGUGCAGGAAGAAGGCGCUACGCGUUGUAAACUGCUUUUAACCGGGAAGAAACCCCAGGACGUGUCCUGGGUUGACGGUACCGGAGGAAUAAGCACCGGCUAACUUCGUGCCAGCAGCCGCGGUAAUACGAAGGGUGCAAGCGUUAUCCGGAUUCAUUGGGUUUAAAGGGUGCGUAGGCGGAGCGUUAAGUCAGUGGUGAAAUCCUGCAGCUUAACUGUAGACUUGCCAUUGAUACUGGCGCUCUUGAGUGCGCUUGAAGUGGGCGGAAUGUGCCGUGUAGCGGUGAAAUGCUUAGAUAUGGCACAGAACACCAAUUGCGAAGGCAGCUCACUAAGGCGAUACUGACGCUGAGGCACGAAAGCGUGGGGAUCGAACAGGAUUAGAAACCCGGGUAGUCC
rnacentral:rRNA from 1 species